rnacentral:tRNA from 1 species
GGGCCUAUAGCUCAGUCGGUUAGAGCAGCGGACUCAUAAUCCGUUGGUCCACAGUUCGAGUCUGUGUGGGCCAA